AAAGUGACGCUUUUGCACUUUGUGACAUCUGUCUGAGUAAAGGUGGUGUACAAAGAAAAGGAACUUACGGUAAGAUCUACGUCUGGUAGUUUAGUAGAAACACACCCCCACAGAGCUGAUGAAGACGAGCUCGCACUUCCUUUCUGCGCCACAUUUGAGGCUCAGCUGUCGGGCGCGGCGCCUCACCCGUGUCCUGCAGCUCGCCCGCUGCAGACCCCGCUGCAGGAUGAACGCCCGGUGGUGGAGCUUCCUGUUCGGACUUGUGUGUGUGCGUGCCGAGGGGACGCGCUGGACAGCCUCUCAGAGCCCGGCAUCCAUCCGUCGAGUGGAGAUCAACUCGUCUCUGGAGAUCUCCUGCUCCACAUCGCUGCCCCGCGUGCUGUCGUUGAGCCUGCACAGGCUUUUCAAGUCCGACGCGCAAAUCGUGUACCUGUCUUUGAACGACGGCGAAAUCACCAAACAAAAUCCCCGCGCGGACUACGUAGACCGGGUCCGUGUGACCGGAGAGCGUUCGGAGUCGGAGUACCAGGUGACGCUGCGGCUGUCCGAGCUACAGCAGGACGACACCGACUUGUACUACUGCAGCUGGACGUACACAGAGGCGUAUGCCGUGGAGCAUCUGAGAAGCAACGGCACCGUCCUCAUCGUGGGAGAGAAAAGGCCUGAACCCCGGUGCCAGAUGCCCCCCCUGGACCUGGUCUUGGUCUGUGCGGGAACCACGGCGUCCGUCCUCAUCCUGUGCUUCUGCGGGGUCUACUUCUACAGGGGCAGACGAGUACGGGUAAAGCCCAUUGAGAUGCUGUCCCGACUCCUUCCUGCUUCACUGCUGAGGUUGUCUUUUUGUUUCUGCAGACUAAAGGGAACUUUAUCCCCGCGCGCCCCCCAGGACAGACAGACCCCCCAGACACAGAUCCUGCAGCUGCAACUCCAACCCCCCCCAGAUCCAACCGUAUUUAGUCACUUCGUUACAAUCGCCUUACUUUCACAGGUGAUCUGCACCAGCACCUCAACAGGCUCUUCGCUUUCCUGCCUAAUUUGUUGUAUCUGCAGAAAAAGCGUCAGCCACCACUUCCUGGCCGAGGCGCCGCUCGCCAUGGCUGGUAGAGGGAAGGUGCACAGCAAGCAUUGUAUCUGUUCAGCACAUCGACUUUUCCUUUGAAGUUUUUUUUCCUGUAAUGACUUGUCAAGACUUUUGAAGUUUUUUUUUUUCUGUAAAUGUUUCAUAAAAAAUGCAAUAAAUCUGCAAAAACCAUC
rnacentral:lncRNA from 1 species